GCAGCUGCGGGCACUGCGGCCCAUGAACGCAUCAUCUACCUACCAUGAGAGAGAAAGUGCCCCAUGUUCUGGGGUACCCAUGGUAUUGGGGUAGAUGAGUGGGUGGAGGAGGUACAGGCCAGUAUGAGGGCUAGCCAUUUGGGUCCCAAUGAUCAGGCCAGCUUCAUUUUUGAUCAUCUAGAGGGUGAAGCUAUGGAUGAAAAUGAAGUAUAGACCACGUAUCGAACGUGAGGACCCAGACCGUGUUUUUACAAUUUUAAAGGAUCUCUAUGGGUGUUCAAAGUCUUGUGUCUUUGCAGGAAGACUUCUUUUCUAGAAACCAGUUAGAGGGAGAAUCCCUGCAAGAGUAUUCUCAUGCCCUAUAUUACUUGAUGGAUAAAGCUGUUGCUUGUGCCCCUAAUAGAAUGUCUAACUCUUCUAUUCUGUUGCAAGACCAGUUUGUGGAGAAUGUGCAGCGCUCAGAUCUUCGCAGGGAGUUAAAGAGGCUGGUCCAUGCUGACUCCACACUGUCCCUACUCGAUGUACGUGCGGAGGCUAUUGGAUGGGAACAUGAGGGCAGCCCUGCUAAUGGUAAAUGCCAUUUUAUUUCCCCUUUUUGUGCUGUGCAGAGCUCUGGUGUUCAUUGUAAUGUUGAUUGCCCUCCUAGCAGUUCCAUCACUGAGCAACUUGCAGCCUUGACUGCUUUAGUUCAUAAGCAGCAGGAGCAACUUAAUCAACUCACUGAGGCCCUUAAGGUUGGCCCUGUCCUACCACUGUCACUGAACUCAGGUCCUUCCUUGGGUUUGCCAGCUAUUACAGGCGCUUCGUGGAGGGUUUUGCAAAGCUGGCUGCUCCCUUGCAUCAGUUGGUUGCUGAGUUGGCUGGCACGAAGACACGGAAGGGACGAGGCCCAGGACUGGGAGAGUGCUGGACUGAAAGCUGUGGGGAAACUUUCCAGAAGCUGAAGGCCUGCCUGGCCGCAUCAAUAAGAAUGCAGAUGCCCUCUCAAGGCAGACCAUGCUCGAGGAAGCCCUCCUGGGAAUAGCGGUACCGGAUGCUCUGCAAAAGGCAAAAAAACGGGGUAAGCAACAAGUUGCAUUGCAAUCUGAGAUAACUGUCCUCCCCUCUCGCACUCCGGCAGACCUGCAGAUGCUCCAGCAGGCCAAUCCAGCCAUCGGGGCUGUGCAGCACGCGAAACACUGGUAAGCUUUAGAUUUUGUAUUAAUAUUGUUUCUUAUUUUAAG
ensembl:lncRNA